rnacentral:rRNA from 1 species
AUUUAUGGCCAUGCCACCCUGAACAUUCCUAAUCUUGGAAGUGAAGCAGGGUCGGGCCUGGUUAGUACUUGGAUGGGAGACCAUCUAGGAACACCAGGUGCUGUAGGCA